AAUGAGAAGUGUGGGCAGCGAGGGUAUCAGAAACAGAUCACAGAAUGAUCAGGCUUGCUCUGUGUGCAUGUUUGUUUGAUCAGUUUGACAGCAAGUCCUACACCUACCUGGAGCUUUUGGCACCACCACAACAGUAUAGAAGUUGUGAAGGCAUUUUUGUGUCCCUCUGUGCAGUCAUGUUGUUUUGUAUCUCUCUGUUCAGCUUACUUGUGUUUCUGAGGUACCAGAUCUAUUAUGAUUACCCACUGGAGACAUACCUGGAGUAUCCCAUCAUCAUUGCACAAGAUGCCAUUCUCCUUUGCUGUAUUAUGCAUUUCAGUGGAAAAAAGAAACGAGCUUUGUUCUAUACAGUCAUAUAUUGGGGGGUCUGGUACGUGCUAACACUGCAUAAGUGGAUAAUAGACGUGGCCAUGAAUCUGUGCACGUUCGUCAGUGCAGCCAGUAAGCUGGUUCAGCUGCAGCAUCUCUGGCAGACCAAAGAUUCCGGACAAGCGAGCGCCCUGACCUGGGGCAUGGGUGCAUACACCUGUGCAACAAGAAUUAUUACAACUGUAAUGACUACGAAUGAUCUUGCAGUUCUCAUCCGUUUCAUAACCAUGCUCAUUCUCAAUAUUUGGGUCACAGCCACAAUUCUGCACUACAGGAAGACUAAAAAGACUGAUUAG
rnacentral:lncRNA from 12 species